rnacentral:snRNA from 1 species
CUGCUCGCUUCGGCAGCACAUAUACUAAAAUUGGAACAAUACAGAGAUUAGCAUAGCUCCUGCGCAAGGAUUACACGCAAAUUCGUGAAGUGUUCCAUAUUUAA